rnacentral:rRNA from 1 species
UAAGGAAUAUUGGUCAAUGGACGCAAGUCUGAACCAGCCAUGCCGCGUGAAGGAUGAAGGUCCUCUGGAUUGUAAACUUCUUUUAUCUGGGACGAAAACGGGAUUUUUAUCUCAAUUGACGGUACCAGAGGAAUAAGCACCGGCUAACUCCGUGCCAGCAGCCGCGGUAAUACGGAGGGUGCGAGCGUUAUCCGGAUUUACUGGGUUUAAGGGUGCGUAGGUGGGCUUAUAAGUCAGUGGUGAAAUCUCCGAGCUUAACUUGGAAACUGCCGUUGAUACUAUAGGUCUUGAAUUAUCUGGAGGUAAGCGGAAUAUGUCAUGUAGCGGUGAAAUGCUUAGAUAUGACAUAGAACACCAAUUGCGAAGGCAGCUUACUACAUAUAAAUUGACGCUGAGGCACGAAAGCGUGGGGAUCAAACA